AUUGCACGUGACUUGCAAGUUACGGGAUUCACGUCGAAAUUAUAGAUGCCAGGUUCGAUACACCUGUUCUCCGCAACGGGACUGUCGAAAUGGCUUCAACGGGAUCAAUAAUCCAAUCAACGGGAUUUUUUGAAACUGGACACGUCGAAUAGAUGCCAAGUUCGAUACACCUGUUCCUCGCAAAGGCAGCAACGUCCAAGUCGAAAUGGCUUCAACCAAUCGCUAAUCCAACCAACAGGAUUUUUGGAAACGGCAAUUGAACGGGAUAUAACUAUGAAUGAGAAUUCUGUCUGGCUGCUACUAAACGUCUACUGCGCCAAAACAUUACAGUCUACUAGCUGCGGAGUAUCCGGGAGUACUAUACGAUUGCAAGUGUACACGCGACAUUUUUCGUUGUUUUUACAAUGCCUCCGAAGAGACGGACUGGCUCAGGAAUGGUAACCAACACUAUACAGCAGAGAGUUUGGAAAUCUACAAAGAUCUCUCUCUAGAAACUGUACGUGACCUGGCUACACCCCCUCUGCCUCUCCAACCAUCAAACGCAUUUUUAGAUACUUUCUGCUAUAAUCUCUACCUAUAAAGGCGACCUGUCUGUCUGUCUAUCUGUCUGUCUAUCUGUCUGUCUGUCUGUCUGUCUGUCUGUCUGUCUGUCUGUCUGUCUGUCCUGUCUGUCUGUCAUUAAUAGCAAACAGUGUCUGCAAAUCAAUCAAUAAUUUGUGUGAUUAAACUAUUACUCGGGCGAAGCCAGGCAUUGGAGCUCGUGUAUCUAUAGAGUUGAUUGUGCAUUGUGAAACUCCAUCCACAAACCCUCAUCUAGUUAUUAAUAUCUCAAUCGUUUCUAUAGCAAUAAAAUAGAAUGAGUAGUGGAGCUCGUGAUCACCGAUUCGUCAUGUGACUUCUUUUAGGACGAGCGCUCGAAGAGAAGAAAUGUGCAGGAGUACGUACUCCAUUAAGUUAAUUAAUCUAUCCACCCAAGCGGUUGCUGCAAACUGUUAGGCCAGCAUGACGCGUCGGUUCGUGCUAAUGUGGCUGUUUCUAGCAUUCACAAGUCUCCAUCAACAUCUAGCUACAAUGUUUUUCAGAAUGUAGCAGCAACAAAGUACAAAAUUGGUAUCCUGCGGCAACUGCCGGUCUCUAAUAUCGUGGUACAGUGUACUAAAAGCACGACGAUUAGAACGGAAACGCUUGUUUGAGUUGGACUUCAAAAGAUGCCUACAGUACGUACAAGCACUAGCCAGACGACUUCAACUACAAGCUGAUCGACAUCGGCAAUCACACGUACAACUAUUGUCGUAAUCCAAGAAAAGACUCUUACAACAAACCAUGGUGUUUAUCAACAAAAAACAAGAAGUGGGAAUAUUGUUAUGUACAGGUGUGCAGAAAUAUUGAAAUGGUUACGACUAAGAAAGAAAAACGAUCUUCACUCAUCGUAAUAUACAAUGGAUGUCAAAACGUCAGACGACAUGCAGUUGAAUCCACUCUACAGCGACAUUGCGUUGCAACAUCAGAUGUCUGAAAAUUUCUCAACGACGACUGAGUCUCACAAAGAUUCUAGAUCUGACAAAAUGAAUCUACUUUAUGAAUCAGCAGAUCAGCUAGAGAGAACUGCGGCACAUGAGUCAGAGAACGUCAUUUACAACAUGUGACAGAUUGCAUGCUGCAUGGAACAUAUACAUGUACCAGUUUUUUUACAGUAUUUGAUUUCUACAUUACCGUGUUACGUAAUGCACAGUCAGUGAUAUUAAUAUGAUUUUGUGACAAUAUCCAUUAUUAUUAAUAUG